GACCGGUACAAGUUCAAUACAUGUCAAUUGAUCGUCCGUCGGAUGUGUGUUUUUAAAGUCUUGUGACAACUCGUCAAAAUGCAGUAGCUUAUGGAGGACCGUACAAGCAAAUACUACCAGUCUACCACCAUUUACGUCGGUUGUACACCUGCCUGAGACAAUCAAAACCGAAAAAUUGUUUUCAAACUUAAAAUCCUCUCAGUCCAGUGUCGCCGGAAACUUCUGGAACUCUUUUUCCCGUCCCCGGAGAUGCCUCCUCCGUGAACCCUUACCUUCUUCAGACUCACAUUUUUAGCUUACUCUCUUGCUAUAGUACUAUUACUAUUUCCAUGGCGGAUGUGAUGCAUGAGGGCCAUAAUACGACCGGGGAUUAUGACAUAGAAUACCGAUCCAAAGACGAUGACGCCUGGUACAGUGCGAGGGUGAUCUUGGACAAUGACGAGAAAAGUUUAGUGGUAAAAUUGGAAGGGUUUUCAGAGGCUUCUGACCUGAAAUUUAGAGCCGACGAAUUUGAAAACCAGGCUGCAGUCGAGGAGUUCGUGAAGAGGUUCCGGUCGGUGUCGGAGCAGCUCCAGGACAGAGAUUGCUACCAGCUUGUUAAAGGCAAGAAGGUUUGUGCGGCGCUUAGCUUUGGACUCGAUGAUCUCCGAUAUUACGACGCUGUUGUGGACGAUGUUCGCCAUCAAGGACAUGUACUAAGAGAUGGAGAAGAUGAAUGUCGGUGCACUUUUAUUCUAUGCUGGCUGCAUGGUCCAAGAUCUGGCAAAUUGACAAUUGUUAAUAUUGCAAACAUAUGCACCAUCCAAGUUGCUGCUCCAGCUGACCUUAGUAUAGUUUCCUUUGCAAAAUUUGCAAAGCAGAAUGUGCAAAUAGCUUGCUCCAAAUCCUGCAUAGUCUCUACUUCAACAGUUGGAGGUCCAUCAAAACAUAAAGAAGUCAUUUGCUUGUCUUCCAGUGUGAAGUCUUCAGCCAAAAGCAGAUCGCAGGAUGAUGAUGCGGUUGAGAGUUUCUGUGGCAAUAGAGCGAAAGAUGAAGAAAGAGUCAGCCUCGGUGCCGAUGUUGAUGAAGAUAAGGGAGGAUAUGACACUGCUGAAUCUGGUCGUCUCCAUUACAUAUUGAUUGACAAUUUGGAGAAUGAUCUAUCAGCAUCAUCAAUUAGGCGAUUCAUUCAUGAAAAUACCUCUGUUUCACCUCAAGCAUACCUGUUUCCAAGUCGAUUAUCAGUGCCUUCUGCUAGUGGAGCUAUUGCUUCAACUUCCAAAAAGAGUCUUGAUCAGAUUUAUGAGUUUUUAAUCAAUCCUAACCACUUGAUUGUUUCUGCUAGGGGAAGGCCAUGGGUUAUAGGAAAGAUGGUGUUGAGUGGAGCAUUUCAAGCAACUCUAGGCAGCUUGCCUGAUGAAUCCCAGGAUGAGUUCAAGAAGGAAAGGUUGAUAAAAGAAUUACAAGUGGUCCCUUCAGGAACUGAAGCAUACAAGACAGCAAUGCAACUAAGGGAUCUAUAUAUUGACUUUGUGAAUCACGAGAAGCUGCUUUACAAGAGACUUGCUUUUGAAGAGUCAAGGAUUCUGAAGUCAUCUUCAUCUGUAGAGACUCGUAAUGGUGAUAAACGUGCCAAUGCGUGCAAGUAUCUGAACUUGUGUAAUUUAUUUGCAGUUGAUUGAUGGAAAAAAAUAAAAUAAGAAAUAAGAGAAAUGUUCUAUUUAUGUCAAGAUAUUAGCAUCGAUAAAGUUAGUAGUAUUUGUCAUGAGAGAAUAGGCCUUAGGAUCUCACUCAGGUGAAGGAUGCUAAUUGCUGCUGCAGAUUCACCUAGAGAUUUAUGAAAUUGACUUUGCAGUUAAUCAAAAUGUGGCUGCAAUCUUCAAAGCUGGAGAUGCCAAUUACACGCUAAACAAGUUCAGUUUGCGGAUUUCUGAAACAGAAUGUGGAUGACUAACUUGCUGCAGAUUUACACUAACUAUUUGCUUUUUAAUUCCUUGCUAAAAACUGUAGUAAAUCAUGGCAGCAACUGUUUUGAUUGAAAGAUGACAUUAGAGAUCUUCUGAUGUGUAUAGCUUGUGCUUAGUAUGUUGUUUAUGAUGCUCAUUUGAAGAUCUAAAAGCCUGGGUUCGGUUUGUCA